UACAGAGGUCUCAAGCGUUUGUUCGGAUUCAUUGGGCGUAAAGGGUGCGUAGGUGGCGGGGUAAGUCGGGUGUGAAAUCUUGGAGCUUAACUCCGAAACUGCAUUCGAUACUGCCGUGCUUGAGGACUUGGAGAGGAGACUGGAAUUUACGGUGUAGCGGUGAAAUGCGUAGAUAUCGUAAGGAAGACCAGUGGCGAAGGCGGGGUCUCUGGACAGUUCCUGACGCUGAGGCACGAAGGCCAGGGGAGCAAACGGG
rnacentral:rRNA from 1 species